rnacentral:tRNA from 1 species
GGGCAAUUAGCUCAGGUGGAUAGAGCGUCAGCCUCCGGAGCUGAAGGCCGCAGGUUCGAAUCCUGCAUUGCCCGCCA